UGGCUCAGUUGGUAGAACAUGGUGUUUGCAACGCCAGGGUUGUGGGUUCGUUUCCCAC
rfam:Salmo salar isolate Sally breed double haploid chromosome ssa06, whole genome shotgun sequence.